AAAAUUUAAAUUUCGAAUUAUAGAUAAAUUUAAUUAUAAAAAAUUAUAACUCUAUAAAAUAGAUAUGACUUUAUUACUUAUACAGCAGGUAGGCUUAUAUUUUAGUUAAACUAAAAACUUUUAUUGUAAAGUUGAUUAUAAAUAUAUGAUAUUAUUUUAUUUGAUUUUAAAUGUAUAGUAAACUGCGAGUUGUAUAUGUUUUGUUGAUAUUAUUUAUAUUGUUUAGUGUUUAAAAUUAUAUACUUGUAUUUUGAUUGUUAAUUUUAUAGUUUCACCUGUAGUAUACCAUCUUGUAUUAAUAUUGAUUUAAACCCGUCAAUUCUAGGAUUUUUCACCUUGUAUUAAAAAUUGAAUCACAUCAUACACAUUAAAAAAUCUAAUAUGAUAAUUCAAAUUGUGGCAUAUGCGAAAAAACUCUAAUUAUUUUUUUAUAACGAUGAUAUUAUUUUUUCGCAAAAAUAGAAUCAUAUAAAGAUGAGAGGUGAACUAUAAUAAUUAAUAAAAAAUUAAUAUGAUAAUUUAGAUACCAAAUCUAAUUUGUUGAUUUUAAUUGGUUACUUUUUUGGAAAUUAAUAAUGUAUUUCGUUUUUGAGUUAAAUUUAAUU
rnacentral:sRNA from 1 species